rnacentral:pre_miRNA from 1 species
UUGACAGAAGAGAGUGAGCAUACACAGAUAAUUGUAUUAAAAAUUUUCUUACUUUUCUGUGUGUGCUCACUUCUCUUUCUGUCAG